UACGUAGGGUGCAAGCGUUAAUCGGAAUUACUGGGCGUAAAGCGUGCGCAGGCGGUUUUGUAAGUCUGUUGUGAAAUCCCCGGGCUUAACCUGGGAAUGGCGAUGGAGACUGCAAGGCUUGAAUCUGGCAGAGGGGGGUAGAAUUCCACGUGUAGCAGUGAAAUGCGUAGAGAUGUGGAGGAACACCGAUGGCGAAGGCAGCCCCCUGGGUCAAGAUUGACGCUCAUGCACGAAAGCGUGGGGAGCAAACAGG
rnacentral:rRNA from 1 species